AUGGCAAGCAUUUCCGAUGCUGCUAAGGGCUAUCUACGAAUCCAAUCUAUAUAAUUCCUUGGCUUUUUGAAACUAUUCUCGAAUUAAGCAUUUGCUACUUGACAAACCUACUUGAAUGCUCUGACUUACUCCCUACGAUGCUUCACAUUUCCUGCUGCAGUGGAAUUCCGGGAUAAAUUUCAUAGUCAAUUUGAAGAAGUGUAACACUGUAACGUAUUAUAUUCUAUAUCACAUCUAUACUAAUAUAAAAAAGAGGAGUUGUACCUCCCAAUCCUACCAGCCAAAUCAUCCCCCCAUCAUCUUUGUCCUCAGCCGUCCGAUCUGUUGAUCCAACGACUCAAAAGCGAUCUGGGCGUCCACCCCUUGCGAUGCAACGGUGAAAUCACCGAUCCCACCGUCCCCCCACCGCGCAAAUCCACACCCGCACUACUGCCACCGCGCUAUCUACGCCACCACGCUUUCCCCGCGCGAUGACUCCGCCGCCGCGCCUCCUCGCUCCAGGCCGUCAUCGUCAUCGUGCGGUCCCGACCCCUUCCGCAUCCCCCCAUCCUGCCUCCUCCACCGCGUCGUCGUCGCGUGGUCCCGGCCGGCUGUCCACCCCGCCGUCCCAGAUCCAGCCAUCCCUCAUACCGGACUCCCCCAUCCCGACGACCCUAUCCCAGCGGCGAGUCAUCGUCGUCGCGCGGGAGAUGACCGGUGGGGAGAGUGAAGAGGGAGAGGCGACAUCAAGGAAGAAGAUGGCAACCCUCCCUCCGCCACGCUAGCUCUCCAAUCCCCCUUCUCAGUCGAGCCCCGCAUCGUCACCUUCCCCCGCCGAUGCCACCACAUCGAGGCACCUCGCGCAUGGAGCUCGGUCACAUCGUCACCUCCGCCACAUCACCAUCGCAGCGUUCACUCUUUCCCCGAAGCCGGACGCAAUGGCCGGUCCCUCGCUAAGGCACCCAGCAGAUCCGGUAAGAGGAUCUGGACUCUUCUGCCAACGAGGCCACUGUCUGAACCACCAUCGUAGGGUAUUUUUUCCGUUGCCUGACACCUUGCUUUUGCUUACUAAUUGGAUCUGAAUGCACCACAUAUCUUCCCCUCCAGAAAUUAUUUUUUCCGGAUGAAAUUGAUAGAAUACCAAUGGCUAUUGCAACAAGCAUGUUGUCAUGGGGGAUGAUCUAGACGUGAGGACUGGCAAGCCAUCUCUUGAUAUAUUUCUUGCUGAGAUGAGGAGGUUCGAGGUAUUGCCAUUAAUUGAUUUGUAUUUCAAGCUCCGUCUGCUGUAGCAGCAGUUAAAAAAUGCUGGAACGUGACUUUGCUCCUCCUCCUCGCUCCUGUGUACUGCCGCCGCGCUGCUGCAUCCUAGUUCUCUGUCCGCCGCGGAGUCGAGGUCCCCUUUCGCCGCCAUCGCCGCUGCCGCUGCCCACACCGACCUCUUCUCCUGCCGCCGCCGGCCCCAUCCGCCGCGGUCGGCACCGAGGGCGGCCCCUUCCACCGCUGCCGCCACCACCAUCACCGCGGUGCACUCCACCGCUGGCGAGCCGAUGUCCUCCCCAUUCGCCGCCGACGAAGCCGAGGUCGUCCCUAGCCGCCGCCACUGCCGCCGCCGAACUCCACCGCUGCCACAGGUUACUGCCAUACUAUACUGAAAAACUGAAAAAGCAUCACAAAUUUUCUCCAGUGGUUGAAUUAUCUCCAGGCAAUGUAGUUGAAUGUCUCUGGUUAACCUAACUGUCACAGGUUACAUUUUUACAUUUUGUGACUUCCUGAAAAUGUCUGCCAAACAACCGCAUGUUACAUUUUGUGAAUUUUUCGAUGACUUCGAAUGUAUUUCAAUAGUUAUAAAAAUUUUUAAUCGAGGAUAUAUAUAUAAAAGAAUGAAUGUUCAUCGAAUUAGAGUUGAUGACUUGACAAGGUUGACUUAAGUUUAACACAUCCAUGUAUAGAUCAUUCUGCUUGCCACUUUGGAUUGAUGUCGUCUGCACUUUAUACGACCUUUGGAACGAUAGUAUGCUUGGGAGACCAGGGAAUGGUACUCAUCUCUGUACUGAAACAAUUUCUGUGACUGGUUUUCAUUCUGUUUGGACCAUACACAACCUUUUCAGUUUAAGUGGAAAGUAAAUCAAUUAUUGUGUCAAUCUUCUGGUCACCUGUGUAUAUCUUGAGGUUUAUACAUAUUAUAAGGUCACAUGUUUAUGUCUUGAGAUUUAUAUAUAUUUAGGCCAAUGUGUACAUCUUCAGAUUUGGAGUGAAUAAAACUUUGCAAUAUCCAUGUAUAUGCCUCUCAUCAAAUAAAGCUAUUUGUUUUGUAAGUUACUGAAUACUGAUGGCACAAUUUUAAUUUUUACUUGGCAGGAGCUCUGCAAAGCAUUUCCAUUUCUCAGUGUUUCUUGUUUACCACUUUGCCACUAUAUAAUUUUCAAGUUUCAGAAGCUUCUUGAGAUAUUAUUGUGAGGUAAUAAUAUGUUGCUCAUGCUAGCAGCUGAGAACUCUGCCAUCUGAAUUAAAAUUUGGUACAUCUCCAUCUAAUCCCAUGAUAAAUAGUGAUAACCUAUUUCUGAAAUAUUUAGAUCCCACGCUUUUUUAAUCUCAAAUUAUGAAACCCUGUAUAUAUACAUUCAAGACAAUUUCCUGUCCAAGACUAUGCUGCUACAUGAUGAAAGAAGAAAGGUUGAUAGGUCUAUGUCUAGCUUCUUUUGGUUAUUCAACUAAGAUAUUAGGCAAUAGUCUUAUCUUAUUUUUGAUACAACAAUAAGUGACUUCAUGUUCACAUUUUUUUACACUGAAAUUGAUUGUGCAACCUAGAUUUCUUUGCAGUUUUACCGGCUUGUUCAUACGAUGGAGAGGAUAGUGUAAGUUCAGACCCACCAAAUGCGUCUUUUCCUACCUCCACCCCCAAGACAAGUUUUGUAUUAUCUCUUCGAGCCUUUCUGUUGUAGCAAGCUGAUUCUGAUUCUCGGUGAGUUCAUAGAUAUCGAGGCAUUCAUUGAGUAUGUUUCCUUUUGCUUCCGUUUUGGUUCAAUCAAUUCAUACAAUUGGUGCUUCGGUAUACUGCUACUCAUUUGGCACCCUUGUGGACAUAAAUUUGCUUCCUGGUUCCACAUUCUUCACAAACAUAUGCACACAAGCUGUUUGUACAAUGCUUGGCAAGAUGAAUCUUUGUGAUUAUAGUGUAUUUGCUAUUUGUGUUAUCAACUAACUGUUGGCAGAAUCGCUGGUAACUGUAUUGCCAUGGCCCUGCUCACCAGUAACUGUAUUGCCAUUCAGGUUUUAGCCCUUGGCAUCUUCCAAGCCAUUUUGCUUUCACAUAUUCAGAAUUGACUGAAAUUCAUUUAUCGUUACAACUAAUGUCGGUGAUCAGUUUUCCUGGAAAAUAUUUGUUGAAAAUAUAUGUAACAGCACCCAAAUGUAUUAGGGUGUGGAAAAUGCUUCAAACUAAGGCUAUUCAGACCCAUAUUCACCUAUUUACAGUGAGCAUUAGGGUCAUUUUAUAGAAAACGUUGUCGAGGAGAUCUAGAAGUUAUUAUAAGUUAGGUCUGCUGCUUCAUUAUAAUAGAUCAUAUGUGUAUUUCUGAAUAUAUCUUCUGUGGCAAGCUGCUUUGGCAAUCCCAGUUGCUGUCCAGAGUAAAGAUUUUCAUGUGGCUUGCGCUAAAGGGCAGAUGCCUCAUGGCUGACAAUCUACAGAAAAUAGGUGGCCUCAUCAGGCGAAUUGCUCCCUAUGCAACCUGGCAUUUCGAGAUGACACCCAACCUUUUGUUCAAUGUGCUUUUACAAACAGGAUUUGGAGAUUGCUCAGGAGCUAAGUGAAUGUUGGCUUUCCGCUUCCAAGUGACCUCAAUGUUGACUUGGCUGAUUGGCGGAUGGCUUCAAGGAGAAGCUUCAGAGAUUGUCUCAGAAAAGUUUUCGAUACUCUCUUCUUCUUCAGAGAUUGUCUCAGGAAGUUGUAUGGCUGUGCAGCUCUUUGGUGACAUCAAAGAAAAAAUCACAAUCUGGAGGGAGGCAGGCUUCAUGGUAGGCGAAAAACGAUUGGUAUUAUUCCUUUUGCAGUUUUUUCUCUCCCGCUCUUUGUAACCGGUUUCGACAGCUUCUUGUGGAUGCUUAGUUUGUAACACCAUCUUCUAAUCUUAAUGAAUUUGCUCAGCCUACUCUUGGGCCAGUCUGGCUAAAAUAAAUGCAAUCAGAGUUAUACUUCA